UACGUAGGGUGCAAGCGUUGUCCGGGAAUUAUUGGGCGUAAAGAGCUCGUAGGCGGUUCGUCGCGUCGGCUGUGAAAUCCCGGAGCUCAACUCCGGGUCUGCAGUCGAUACGGGCGGACUCGAGUUCGGCAGGGGAGACUGGAAUUCCUGGUGUAGCGGUGAAAUGCGCAGAUAUCAGGAGGAACACCGGUGGCGAAGGCGGGUCUCUGGGCCGAUACUGACGCUGAGGAGCGAAAGCGUGGGGAGCGAACAGG
rnacentral:rRNA from 1 species